GCCUCCAGCAGAGCAUGGCUGUCCUGGUGCUGCUCCUCUGCCUGGUGACCUUUCCAAGCUGUGCCCUGUCCCAGGUGCAGCUGAAGGAGUCAGGACCUGGCCUGGUGCAGCCCUCACAGACCCUGUCCCUCACCUGCACUGUCUCUGGGUUCUCAUUAACUGGCUAUCAUGUACACUGGGUCUGCCAGCCUCCAGGAAAGGGACUGCAGUGGAUGGGAGCAAUGUGGAAUCAUGGAGGCACAGAGUACAGUUCAGCUCUCAAAUCCAGACUCAGCAUCAGCAGGGAAACCUCCAAGAGCCAAGUUUUCCUAAAACUGAACAAUCUAUAAACUGAGGACACAGCCACUUAUU